rnacentral:rRNA from 1 species
AACGAACGCUGGCGGCAGGCCUAACACAUGCAAGUCGAGCGAGGACUUCGGUCCUAGCGGCGGACGGGUGAGUAACGCGUGGGAACGUGCCCUUUGCUUCGGAAUAGCCCUGGGAAACUGGGAGUAAUACCGGAUGAGCCCUUUGGGGGAAAGAUUUGUCGGCGAAGGAUCGGCCCGCGUUGGAUUAGGUAGUUGGUGGGGUAAUGGCCUACCAAGCCGACGAUCCAUAGCUGGUUUGAGAGGAUGAUCGGCGACACUGGGACUGAGACACGGCCCAGACGCGGGGGGGAGGCAGCAGUGGGGAAGGGUGGGGAGUGGGCGAGAGGCUGGUGCAGCGAAGCCGGGUGGGGGAGGAAGGUCUUCGGGUUGUGAACCGCGGUCGGCAGGGAUGAAGGGGGAGUGACGGUAGCUGCAGAAGAAGCACGGGCGAACUACGUG